rnacentral:rRNA from 1 species
GACGAACGCUGGCGGCAUGCUUUACACAUGCAAGUCGAACGGAAAGGCCCUGCUUUUGUGGGGUGCUCGAGGGACGAACGGGUGAGUAACACGUGCGUACCCUGCCCUUGACGUUGGGAUAACUACAGGAAACUGGAGCUAAUACCGGAUAGGAGCUCCUGCUGCAUGGAGGGGGUUGGAAAGUUUCGGCGGUUGGGGAUGGACUCGCGGCUUAUCAGCUUGUUGGUGGGGUGGUGGCUUACCAAGUAAUUGAACGGUAGCCGGCCUGGGAGGGUGGCCGCCCACCUUGGGACUGAGCUAGGCAGCAGUCGCCAACGGGCGGCAACAGGGGGGAAUCUUGCACAAUAGGCGGACGCGUGGUGCAGCGACGCCGCGUGCGGGAUGACGGCCUUCGGGGUAUAAACCGCUUUCGCCUAUUACGAAGCGUGAGUGACGGUAACGGGUAAAUAAGCACCGGCUAACUACGUG